AUGCUCAUUCUGGCAACACGUACACUAAAAUUAGAACAAUGCAGAGAUUGCAUGGCCCCUAUGCAAGGAUAACAUGCAAAUCUGUGAGAACAAGUAUAUGUUC
ensembl:snRNA U6 U6 spliceosomal RNA